GAUGAACGCUGACAGAAUGCUUAACACAUGCAAGUCAACUUGAAUUUGGGUUUUUAACUUCGGUUUGGGUGGCGGACGGGUGAGUAACGCGUAAAGAACUUGCCUCACAGCUAGGGACAACAUUUGGAAACGAAUGCUAAUACCUAAUAUUAUGAUAAUAGGGCAUCCUAUAAUUAUGAAAGCUAUAAGCGCUGUGAGAGAGCUUUGCGUCCCAUUAGCUAGUUGGAGAGGUAACGGCUCACCAAGGCGAUGAUGGGUAGCCGGCCUGAGAGGGUGAUCGGCCACAAGGGGACUGAGACACGGCCCUUACUCCUACGGGAGGCAGCAGUGGGGAAUAUUGGACAAUGGACCGAGAGUCUGAUCCAGCAAUUCUGUGUGCACGAUGAAGUUUUUCGGUAUGUAAAGUGCUUUCAGUUGGGAAGAAACAAAUGACGGUACCAACAGAAGAAGUGACGGCUAAAUACGUG
rnacentral:rRNA from 1 species